rnacentral:lncRNA from 1 species
AUUUGACUUUGCUUUUUUCUUUUAGUUUUUUGAUAGUUUUUAUUUUAAUGAUACCUGCUUUUAAAGUAAGCAGAAUACAACAGACACUAGUAUUGCUGUAUGUAUAAACGUGGCUGUAUAACCAAUGUGAUCCUGCAGUCUGUACACGUGGAAAAAUGAGAAUUCAUACCCCAUUUGAAUCAAAUGUAUGAUAUGUCAAGAUAGUUGUAUUGUCUUGAGCAACUAAUAAAAAAUAAAGUAAGCAUAAUUUAUAACUAUCUACAGUUAUACACUGCAGAUACAAUAUUAAGUGCUCAUAAUCCCUUGCAUUUGGUAAAUACAGGAACUUUAUUAGUUUACAUGAAUUUUUCACCAACUGACCUUAACUCAGGAAGCUAUAUUAGUAACUGAAUUUAUAAACUUAGUACUUUGCAUCUCAUCCAGCAUAAAGUUGCCCAACUAAGGAAAACAGGUAAUAAUAAUGAAUUCAAUCAUUUUAUGAUUCCAUAAAAUACAUAGUUCAAUAAAUAUAUCUCCAAAGGAAGAAAGUGGAGUUGGUUUUUGUACCUCUCUUGUUUAGGUGGUAAGUAAAUAUACUUUGAGUCAUCAAGAACUAUCUCCAUAUGGAUCUUAGAAAAUUUGGAAUUUUAACUACUGAUUUGAUUUUUGAUUCUAUAUUAUACCCAUUCAGAAGUAGAUUCCCUUAGAAGGAAUGGUAAUGCAGACAAAUUUGCCUAUUUAUUUUGAUAUGGGGUACUGGAAAGAAUCUGUGUUAGAAUAGACUUUGCACACACUGUCCUGUCAUAUAUAGAAAAAACAACUGUAUGCAAUUUGUGUGGACAUACUUUAUGGAUCUAUAUUUAUGACAACCUCAAUGUUUUCAUUUAAAGUUUCAAUUAGGGGGCUGGGGAUGUGGCUGAAGCGGUAGCGCGCUCGCCUGGCAUGCGUGCGGCCCGGGUUCGAUCCUCAGCACCACAUACAAACAAAGAUGUUGUGUCCGCCGAA